AGCAAUAUCAAGAUAUAUAAUAAUCCCCUCAUUCCAGAAUAGUCUCUUGUGUUCUUUCCAGCCAAUGCCCCACCCCUGGAUUCUGGCAACAAUUCAUCUGCUUUUUAUUACCAUGGAUCAUAUUUGUCUUUCCUAGAGAUACAAAUCAAUGAAAUAAUGUAGUGUGUCCUCUUUAACUUUGGCUUGUUUCUCUCAGCACACUAUUUCUGAAAUUUGUCCAUACUGUUGAUAUGGCAGACAGAAUUUUAAGAUGGUUCCUAAAAUUCUUGCCUCCUGGUAUAUAUAAUUUUCUCUCAGUUUUCCACUGAACACUAAUCUAGUGUAAUCUAUUGUAAAGGGAUUUCUCAAGUGUAAUUAAAGUCCCUAAUAAGUUUAUUUUAAGUUAGAAAAAUUUUCCCAGGUGAACUUGAGCUAAGUGAGUGACCUAAGCAGGUGAGUCAUUAGAAAAAAAUUAAGAGAUAUUUGAAGCAUAGACAAAAUUCUGUCGGCUUUUAAAAGAAAACUUCCAUGUGAUAGAGAAAGCCAGAUGAUAGGGAACACAAGGUUACCUCUAAAUUGACAACCAGCAAAAAAGCUGAGACUUCAGUCUUAUCAUCAUAAGGAAUUGAAUUCUGUCAAUAGCCAUGUGACCUUAGAGGAGGACCCUGAGCUGCAGAUGAGAUCAUGGCCCUGGCCAAUACCUUAAAUUCAUCCUGGUGAGAUAUGAGCAGAGAACUCAGCUAUGCCAUGCUCAGAUUUCUCACCUGUAAAGCAGUGAAUUAAUAAGUGGACAUUAUUUGAAGCUGCUAAGUUUGUGGUGAUUUGUUACACACCAAGAGAAAACAUAUACUGUAUAUAUCAUUAGAUUUUUCCUUUAUAUUGGUGGGUGUAUUUGUUAUCUAUUACUUCCUAACAAAUUGACAAUAAUUAAGUGUCUUAAGACAACACAUAUUUAUUACCUCAUAGUUUCUGUGGGUCAGAAAUUUGGGCAUGGUUUAUGUGAGUUCUUUGAUUUAAAGUUGUUGGCAAGUCUGUAAACAAGGAAGCAGUCAGGACCGAGGUCUCAUCUGAAAGUCAACUUGGGAUGGAUCUGCUUCCAGCCUUACUUAACAUAACAGUUGGCAGGAUUCAGUUGCUCUGGGGUAGUUGGAUUGGUGGCCUCAGAUAACUAGGUAGCUAUUAGCUAGAUUUCACCCUCAGUUUGUUGCCAUGUGGGCCUCCCCAAGGUGGCAAUUUACUUCAUCAAAACCAGCAAGGGAGAGAGUCGGCUACAAUCUCUAGUAAUAUAGCUACAGAAAUGACAUCCCCUUAGCAAUGAGAUAUUUUAUUAAUUAGAAAGAAAUUACUCAACAGGAGGGGAUUGCACAAUGUAGUGAAUACCAGGAGGCUGAGAUCAGAAGGAGCUAGUUUAGAAGCUGCCUACCACAGUGAGUAGUAUUCUAUUACAUGAAUAUACUAGAAUGUCUGUAUCCACCCAACUGGGCAUAGACAUUUGUGUUCAUUCAAGAUACGGACUAUUAUGAUUUUAAAAAUAAAAGUUAGUAUGAACAUUUAAGUAUAA
rnacentral:lncRNA from 1 species